rnacentral:tRNA from 1 species
GGUGGGUUGGCUCAGUGGUUAGAGCGUAGGUCUCGUAACCGAAAUGUUGCGGGAUCGAAUCCCGCUAGAGGCUG